rnacentral:rRNA from 1 species
GGAUGGAAUAUUUGGGGUCAAUGGGCGAGAGCCUGAACCAGCCAAGUAGCGUGCAGGACGACGGCCCUAUGGGUUGUAAACUGCUUUUAUAAGGGAAUAGAGUGGGUCACGUGUGACUUUUUGCAUGUACCAUAUGAAUAAGGACCGGCUAAUUCCGUGCCAGCAGCCGCGGUAAUACGGAAGGUCCGGGCGUUAUCCGGAUUUAUUGGGUUUAAAGGGAGCGUAGGCCGUCUGUUAAGCGUGUUGUGAAAUGUCGGGGGCUCAACCUGGGCAUUGCAGCGCGAACUGGCAGACUUGAGUGCGCGGGAAGUAGGCGGAAUUCGUCGUGUAGCGGUGAAAUGCUUAGAUAUGACGAAGAACUCCGAUUGCGAAGGCAGCCUGCUGUAGCGUAACUGACGCUGAAGCUCGAAAGC